CCUACGGGUGGCAGCAGUUUCGAAUCAUUCACAAUGGGCGAAAGCCUGAUGGUGCGACGCCGCGUGAGGGAUGAAGGUCUUCGGAUUGUAAACCUCUGUCACCGGGGAAGAAACCCUGCAGGUUAAUAGUCUGCAGGCUGACUUAACCCGGAGAGGAAGCAGUGGCUAACUCUGUGCCAGCAGCCGCGGUAAUACAGAGACUGCAAGCGUUAUUCGGAUUCACUGGGCGUAAAGGGUGCGCAGGCGGCCGUGUGUGUUGGGCGUGAAAGCCCGGGGCUUAACCCCGGAAUUGCACCCAAAACUACAUGGCUAGAGCAUUGGAGAGGGUAGCGGAAUUCACGGUGUAGCAGUGAAAUGCGUAGAUAUCGUGAGGAACACCAGAGGCGAAGGCGGCUACCUGGACAAUUGCUGACGCUCAGGCACGAAAGCGUGGGGAGCAA
rnacentral:rRNA from 1 species